GGAGGAGAGAGCAGAGUAUACCGCAGACAUCAUUUCUACUACAGUGGAGGAGCCGUACAGGACCUGUUUCACUGCAGGGGGAUCCAAAACAAGCCCUGUGGAGCCGCAGCUAGAGCUACAGCAGCCGCAGGACACUGUGUCUCUCCCUCUGUUACCCCUUCCCCACGCAACCCCAGAUCCAUUUACACUUUACAAAGUAUCCUGCACCGUGCAACAAGUACGAGGGCGGUCGCUUCAAGCUGCAGAUCUGUCUGUCAUCCUUAUCCAACAGUCUCUUCCUCCACUCCCUCCACAGGGAAGGGCGUCACCUGUCAGAUUGCAGCAUCCUGGAACAGAAUGAAAGGAUCUGUGUUGAAACAGCUACAGUAGGGUUACAGUAGACCCUGAGAAAAACAGAGUGGACUUCAGCCUGCACGGAUGAGCUUGAAGCAGGAAUGGUUUGGGGUUCAGGCCUCUUACACUGAAUUUCUCUACUGCCACCCUUUCUACUCAAGCAACAUCUUCAGGAAAAGAUCUCCCGGGAAGGAAGUGGCUGCUUGUGGCUUUGCACUGUGAUGAAGGCAAAUGGUACAGGUGAGUAGAUCCAAAGCCUGAACCAUCUGGAAAUCCUAAGACAGCAGUGGGCGCACAUCAGUAGCUCUUCACGAAGACGCACAUGCAUGUGCAUGCUCAUACCUGAACACGCAUGCACACUCACACAUAUACACACAUGUAUACAAACACAGGUACACACAUACAGGAACAGUAUAUAUCUAUAUAUCUAAAUAUUAUCCCUCUACUUAUUUUUAUGGAGUCUUUUAAUGUAAGGGAACUAUUACUUUUAUGCACACAUACACACAUACACUCAUGCACACAAACAUGCGGUGUGCAUGCUUGUGUGUAGGCAUGCUCACAUGUAUGUGAGUUUACAUGUUUCUGUGCAUGUGGAGCCCAGAGCUUGACAUUGGAAGUGUCCUUCAAUCACCUUCACCUGGUACACUGAGAGAGCAUCUCUCAACUGCACCCAGAGCUAAUAGGACUGGUGUAGUCAGGCAGCUUGCUCAGGGGAACCUCUGUGUCUGCCUUCAGUUGGAAUUACAAGUGGGUUACCUUACCUGUCUGCUUUCUAUGUGGGUUCAGGGAUCUGAACUCUGCUCCUUUAAUCCAUGCACAAAAAGUGGUUUACCCACCGGGCCAUCUAGCUGCUCUGUUGAGUCCCUUUUCCUUUUCUUUCUUUUUUUAGUAGAGAUUUUUGUUUUGUUUUUUUUUUUUUUUACUUACUUUGAGGUGACUGGUAAGUUGUGUGACAAGAGCAUGUUACGUAAAGAAUAACUCUGAUGCUGACACUCAGCUGACGGGCAACGGUCAGACUGAGGAGAGUACAAUAUAAUCUCUAGGCUCAUCUAACGUUUGUUUCUCUUGACGAUCGGCACCAUUCAAUGCCAAGUAUUUUUACCAUGUAACUCUCUCUGAUUAUAUAAUUUUCCAACAAGCAGACAUUAUUGUACUUGAUCCUGUUCAUCUGGAAUUGUGUGUGUGUGUGUGUGUGUGUGUGUGUGUGUGUGUGUGCAUAAAACUCUUGUAACUAUAGAAGUUCCUGUUAUUAAUGGCUUCCUUGAGACAUUGAUUGCCUAUCAGUGAACAGCUGAAUGGGAGAGCUUUUGGAUUUGAAGAGUUUCAAUACAUGUUUCUGAAUGACUUUCCAAUCAAACAGUAGCAGGUUCUGUUUUCAGGAGAGACAAAGAAGCAGUUCUCUAUCCUCCAAGUCCUGGAUGCCAAGCGCUCAGGAUGCCGAAAGGGUGCUGGCUUUUUUUUCACUGAUGGUGAGAAAUGAUCUGUGUGUGUCCAUGUGUGCUGUGCUGUGUGAGGGGACGUGGGCUCGCGCCGAGGAGGGGAUUUGCUUGCAGAUCCUGCUGUGCUUUAGAGCCCACCUUCUGUAGACAGAAGCUACACUUAAAGCUCGCCAGAUCUGGACAUUUGAGAAAUAAUACUAAAUCAAGGAGGAGUGUGAGAGCCCCGGGGAGAUGUGAGAUCCUUCUUUCCAGCCAAGUAUUUUUAGACAAUUGUGAAAUCACUGAAUAGCCAGCAUUUUCCAGUAAAAAGUGAAGUUUGGUCGCUGCUCAAAAAGAAUAAGGAGGUAUUUCAUAAACAGCCUCUGGGAGAAGCAAUCUGAAGUUGGACUUCUCAUUAUUAAGAAUGCACAUGUGUCUAUGACUAUCUAGCAUGUGUAUGUAUGCUGUGCCCAGGGUCAGGACAUUGGUUGCUAUAUAGAACAGAGAGGCUAUUGAGCCCUCAGAUCACUACAGGGGCCCUGCUCUUUUCUAGGGGAUGGUUUUCUAAGUUUGCAUUUAUAAAAUGCAGGUAAACAAUAGUGUUGGUUGGGUGAGGUGAUGCCUCAUGUGACUGUACAUGGCAAGUUUAUUCUCAUUAAAGUCUUGUGUCGAUAGGACAUGUAUUGAUACUAGAGAAUGAUUGGCUGUGGGUUAGGUAUGGAAGUGCAUACCUAUGAUCUCAGUAUCCAGGGGCAGGAGGAUCAGGAAUUCAAGGCCUGCUUGCCUCACAGGAGACCUUAUCUCAAGAGAGCAGAGAGAAGAGAGAGAAAAAAAAAACAUUAAAGAGAAAAAUGGAGGCAGGAGAGGUUGGCUCAGCAGUUAAGAGCACUUGUUCUACCACCCUGAGGGUCAAGAGUUCAGACCCCAGCUUAUAUAUAAUAAACCAGGCAUUCUGGGAAAUGCCUAUAGUUUCAGCUCUGAGGGAAUGGGGUGAGGCAGGAAUUCAGCCUAGUCAAGAAGAUACAAACCUCAGAUUUAGGGUGAGACCCUGCCUCAAAGGAGUGUAUAGAGGGUGGUAGAGGACACCUGAUGUCCUCUGCUGGCCUCUGUGGGCACGUACUCAUACUUAACCUGUAUACAAGGGUGUACUUACAGUCACACAGAUACACAUACAAACAUAUAAGUCCUUUAAAAAGAAAAGGACCAUGAUAGGGGCUCACAACACUAUACUACAGUGCUAACAACAGUGGAACUCUGCCUUAUGCAAUUAUGUUUUCCCUUCUUCAUAUUCUGCCUCUGGUUCAUCCCCCCCCCUCCACCCCCACCCCCACCCGUGUCUGAAGGAAUUCCAUGGCUUAUUUUUAUUAGCAUGCACUGAGUCAGUGCUGCCCAGGAGAGACUGUCUUCUGAAGGUCUUUAAGGAAGAGAUCCAUUUUCCCUCAGGGCUUAAGAUUGCUGCUCUAUUGGCUGGCUAGGGCACCCGAGUAUCAAUCCGACCUGGCUGCCUUGGGCCAGCUUCUCAUUCCUACCCAGGUUGCCUUGCUGUGGUACAGAAAGUGACUCAGGCCGGGAAGGUAUCAGGUCUUUUGUGAGUCCCAUAGCAAGAGGUCCCUCCCCUUCUGGAGCCAUGUGCGAGCUGAUUUGCUUGUCUUGUCUCCUCCUCCUAUUGCAAAACAAGCUUCAUUUCAUGAACUGAAUGAAGGGAAAGGCAUGGUAGAAGAACUCCCAUCUCCUUGGUUUUUGACACUGUGCACUCCAGCCUACAGAUGUGCAGGGGGAAGGUAGAUGGCUAAGCAGUGAAGAGCACUGGUUGCUUUUCAGAGGACCUGGGUUCAAUUCCCAGCAUCCAUAUGGUGGCUGAAAACAUUAAUGUAAGUCCCAUCCCAGGAGAUCUUACGCCCCUUUCUGGCUUCUGAGGGCACUGCACACACUUGGUGUACAGAUGUAAACAGGCAAGCAAAACACCCAUACACAUAAUAUUAAGAUAUGGAAAAUCUCAAGC
rnacentral:lncRNA from 1 species